UAUCUUCUUCUCUACCGUUUAUGUCUUUCUCAUCUUCACUACUAUGGGCUUUCACCAUCUCACCUUCAUAUGCAUUCAUUGCUAUUCCAAUAACUUCACUCCUCUAUUAUGUGCAUUUACUUAGGGUUCAUUGAUUCCAAUCUUCGUUGUAACAGCAGGAUUCCAAAUGCGAUCAUGGAUCCCCUUUCGUAUCUUUUGCGGACUUAAACCUAGCCACCUUGAGCAACGGUUACUAGGUAGAUUGCUCAGUUUCAAGCCUGCAUGUAACGUUAAAAAUCCGGCCGACUUCUGCCUUCGAGACUUCCAUCACGAUGUUAACAGCUUGCGUUUGUACCUGAGAUCGAUGAAUUGGGAACCAUGUCUUACGGAGCUAUCAAGUAUUCUGUGUGAUCGAGAUUUGUACUCAUGGGGAGGUAGAGACAUUAUGAGAAAAGUUGUUGUACUGAGCAAGUUCUUGCUUCCCUGAAGAUAUGGAUUCUGAAGCUACAAGCACACUU